rnacentral:lncRNA from 1 species
UAUAAACCAGUAUAACCCAGUAUAACCCCCUAUAACCCAGUAUAGCCCAGUAUAGCCCAGUAUAGCAGGACCAGACCUGUGCAGCCCAGCACCCUCCUCCCAGUAUAACCCAGUACAGCCCAGUACAGCCCAGUAUAAACCCGUCCAGCCCAGUAUAGACCCAGUACAGCCCAGUAUAAACCCAUCCAGCCCAGUCCGGGGCAGUCCAGUCUCCAGUAUAAACCAGUCCAACCCAGUGCCACCCCAGUACAGCCCAGUCCAGGGCAGUCCAGCCCCCAGUAUAACACCCUUCAGCCCAGUCCAACCCAGUAUAACCGUGCCCAAGCCCAGUAUAAACCAGUGCAGACCCAGUAUGAUCCUGUCCAAACCCAUCCAGCCCAGUAUAGACCCAGUACAACCCAGUCUGGAGUAGUCCAGCCCCCAGUAUAACCCAGUUCGCACCAGUCCAACCCAGUAUAACCCUGCCCAAGCCCAGUCUGACCCAGUCCAGUGCAGCACAGCCCCCAGUUUGUCCCAGUAUAGCCCAGUUCACCCUAGGUAGACCCAGUAGAGCGCAGUACAACUCCCAGUUUAAUCCCAGUAUACCCCAGUCCAGCUCAGUAUAGACCCAGUAUAGGCCCCUAGUCUAACCCAGUACACCCCAGUCUAGCCCAAUAUAGACCCAGCAGAGUGCAGUAUGGCUCCCAGUUUAUCCCAGUAUAGCCCAGUCCACCCCAGUAUACCCCCUUCCAGCCCAAUAUGGCUCCAUCAGAGUGCACUAUGGCUCCCAGUUUAUCCCAGUAUAGCCCAGUCCAGUCCAGUAUAGGCCCAACAGAAUGCAGUAUGGCUCCCAGUUUAUCCCAGUAUAGCCCAGUCCACCCCAGUAUGGCCCCUAGUCUAGCCCAGUACACCCCAGUAUACCCCAGUCCAGCCCAAUAUGGAUCCAUCAGAGUGCACUAUGGCUCCCAGUUUAUCCCAGUACAGCCCAGUUUAUCCCAGUAUAGGCCCAGUAGUAUGCGGUAUGGCUCCCAGUUCAUCCCAGUCUACCCAGUUUAUUCCAGCCCAGCCUAGUCCAGAGCCAGUCCAAUGCAGUAAGGCCCCCAGUACACCCCAGUUUAUCCCAGUAUAGCCCAGUUUAUCCCAGUAUAGGCCCAGUAGUAUGCGGUAUGGCUCCCAGUUCAUCCCAGUAUAGCCCAGUUUAUCCCAGUCCAGCCCAGUCCAGAGCCAGUCCAAUGCACUAAGGCCCCCAGUUUAUCCCAGUAUAGCCCAGUAUAGACCCAGUCCCCCCCCCCCCCCCCAGCUCCGCCUCCUUCCCCUCACUUUGGGGCGAAAACCUCUCUUUUCGGGCAAGACAACUUUUUCCUCCCGCAGCGACGUGGCGGGCGGCAGCCAAUGGGCGCGCGGCGCCGGCCGCCCCCACGUGGGCUCGGCGACUUCUGAUUGGUCGAGAGGGCUGAAGGGGCGGGGCGAGGCCGGGCCUGGGAGGGGCCGGGGGCAUUUUGGGGCGUUUAGGGGUGAUUUAAUACCA